UACGAAGGGGGCGAGCGUUGUUCGGAUUUACUGAGCGUAAAGGGCGCGCAGGCGGCUCAUUUUGUCAGGCGUGAAAGCCCCGGGCUUAACCUGGGGACUGCGUUUGAUACGGAUGGGCUAGAGUUCGGGAGAGGAGAGUGGAAUUCCCAGUGUAGAGGUGAAAUUCGUAGAUAUUGGGAAGAACACCGGUGGCGAAGGCGGCUCUCUGGACCGAGACUGACGCUGAGGCGCGAAAGCGUGGGGAGCAAACAGG
rnacentral:rRNA from 1 species